UUGGAGGGCAAGUCUGGUGCCAGCAGCCGCGGUAAUUCCAGCUCCAAUAGCGUAUAUUAAAGUUGUUGCAGUUAAAAAGCUCGUAGUUGAAUUUCGAGACCGGUUUAUUGGUCGUGCUUUUGUACGUACUGGUAUUAUUGGUUUCUCCUUUCUGACGAACUAUAAUGCCAUUAAUUUGGUGUUUUAGGGAAUCAGGACUGUUACUUUGAAAAAAUUAGAGUGUUUAAAGCAGGCUCACGCUUGAAUACAUUAGCAUGGAAUAACGGAAUAGGACGUUUGAUUCUAUUUUGUUGGUUUCUGGGAUCGACGUAAUGAUUAAUAGGGAUAGUUGGGGGCAUUAGUAUUCAAUUGUCAGAGGUGAAAUUCUUGGAUUUAUUGAAGACUAACUACUGCGAAAGCAUUUGCCAAGGAUGUUUUCAUUAAUCAAGAACGAAAGUUAGGGGAUCGAAGACGAUCAGAUACCGUCGUAGUCUUAACCAUAAACUAUGCCGACUAGGGAUCGGAUGAUGUUAAUUUUUUAAUGACUCAUUCGGCGCCUUACGGGAAACCAAAGUGUUUGGGUUC
rnacentral:rRNA from 1 species